AGAACGAACGCUGGCGGCAUGCCUAAUACAUGCAAGUCGAACGAAGGCUUCGGCCUUAGUGGCGCACGGGUGCGUAACGCGUGGGAAUCUGCCCCUUGGUUCGGAAUAACAGUUGGAAACGACUGCUAAUACCGGAUGAUGACGAAAGUCCAAAGAUUUAUCGCCAAGGGAUGAGCCCGCGUAGGAUUAGCUAGUUGGUGAGGUAAAGGCUCACCAAGGCGACGAUCCUUAGCUGGUCUGAGAGGAUGAUCAGCCACACUGGGACUGAGACACGGCCCAGACUCCUACGGGAGGCAGCAGUAGGGAAUAUUGGACAAUGGGCGACGAACG
rnacentral:rRNA from 1 species